rnacentral:rRNA from 1 species
CACGGCGGCAGUAGCGCGGUGGUCCCACCUGACCCAUGCCGAAUUUCAGAGUGAAACGCCGUAGCGCCGAUGGUAGUGUGGGGUCUCCCCAUGCAGGCAGGGAACUGCCGGGC